CUGAGCUGUGAUGGGGAGAAGACAUUGUGUCUUCGAGUCGUUGAUUUCACACUGCCGAGAAAAGCCUCUAGAUAGAAAAUAGGUGCCCGUACCGCAAACCGACACAGGUAGUCAAGAUGAGAAUUCUAAGGUGAGCGAGCGAACUCUCGUUAAGGAACUCGGCAAAAUGACCCCGUAACUUCGGGAGAAGGGGUGCUCUUUAGGGUUAACGCCCAGAAGAGCCGCAGUGAAUAGGCCCAAGCGACUGUUUAUCAAAAACACAGGUCUCUGCUAAACCGUAAGGUGAUGUAUAGGGGCUGACGCCUGCCCGGUGCUGGAAGGUUAAGAGGAGUGGUUAGCUUCUGCGAAGCUACGAAUCGAAGCCCCAGUAAACGGCGGCCGUAACUAUAACGGUCCUAAGGUAGCGAAAUUCCUUGUCGGGUAAGUUCCGACCCGCACGAAAGGCGUAACGAUUUGGGCACUGUCUCAACGAGAGACUCGGUGAAAUCAUAGUACCUGUGAAGAUGCAGGUUACCCGCGACAGGACGGAAAGACCCCGUGGAGCUUUACUGUAGCCUGAUAUUGAAAUUCGGCACAGCUUGUACAGGAUAGGUAGGAGCCUUUGAAACGUGAGCGCUAGCUUACGUGGAGGCGCUGGUGGGAUACUACCCUAGCUGUGUUGGCUUUCUAACCCGCACCACUUAUCGUGGUGGGAGACAGUGUCAGGCGGGCAGUUUGACUGGGGCGGUCGCCUCCUAAAAGGUAACGGAGGCGCUCAAAGGUUCCCUCAGAAUGGUUGGAAAUCAUUCAUAGAGUGUAAAGGCAUAAGGGAGCUUGACUGCGAGACCUACAAGUCGAGCAGGGUCGAAAGACGGACUUAGUGAUCCGGUGGUUCCGCAUGGAAGGGCCAUCGCUCAACGGAUAAAAGCUACCCCGGGGAUAACAGGCUUAUCUCCCCCAAGAGUUCACAUCGACGGGGAGGUUUGGCACCUCGAUGUCGGCUCAUCGCAUCCUGGGGCUGUAGUCGGUCCCAAGGGUUGGGCUGUUCGCCCAUUAAAGCGGUACGCGAGCUGGGUUCAGAACGUCGUGAGACAGUUCGGUCCCUAUCCGUCGUGGGCGUAGGAAAUUUGAGAGGAGCUGUCCUUAGUACGAGAGGACCGGGAUGGACAUACCUCUGGUGUACCAGUUGUCGUGCCAACGGCAUAGCUGGGUAGCUAUGUGUGGACGGGAUAAGUGCUGAAAGCAUCUAAGCAUGAAGCCCCCCUCAAGAUGAGAUUUCCCAACUUCGGUUAUAAGAUCCCUCAAAGAUGAUGAGGUUAAUAGGUUCGAGGUGGAAGCAUGGUGACAUGUGGAGCUGACGAAUACUAAUCGAUCGAAGACUUAAUCAA
rnacentral:rRNA from 1 species